UACGUAGGGGGCUAGCGUUGUCCGGAAUCAUUGGGCGUAAAGCGAGUGUAGGCGGUUCGCUAAGUCGGGUGUGAAAGCCCCGGGCUCAACCCGGGAAGUGCACUCGAAACUGGCGAGCUAGAGUAUCGGAGAGGUUGGUGGAAUUCUCGGUGUAGAGGUGAAAUUCGUAGAUAUCGAGAGGAACACCGGUGGCGAAGGCGGCCAACUGGACGAAUACUGACGCUGAGACUCGAAAGCGUGGGGAGCAAACAGG
rnacentral:rRNA from 1 species